UCCCACCUGACCCCAUGCCGAACUCAGCAGUGAAACGCCGUAGCGCCGAUGGUAGUGUGGGGUCUCCCCAUGUGAGAGUAGGGAACUGCCAGAC
rnacentral:rRNA from 3 species